UGACGUGGGCGAAGCCUGACCGCCUGCCGCGUGAGUGAUGAAGGCCCUAGGGUUGUAAAGCUCUUUUGUCCGGGAAGAUAAUGACUGUACCGGAAGAAUAAGCCCCGGCUAACUUCGUGCCAGCAGCCGCGGUAAUACGAAGGGGGCUAGCGUUGCUCGGAAUCACUGGGCGUAAAGGGUGCGUAGGUGGAUUUUUAAGUCAGAGGUGAAAUCCUGGAGCUCAACUCCAGAACUGCCUUUGAUACUGAGAGUCUUGAGUUCGGGAGAGGUGAGUGGAACUGCGAGUGUAGAGGUGAAAUUCGUAGAUAUUCGCAAGAACACCAGUGGCGAAGGCGGCUCACUGGCCCGAUACUGACACUGAGGCACGAAA
rnacentral:rRNA from 1 species